CAGGUCGGGUCGCAGGGGAAGUAGAUUCAGCAGGGAUACUGUUAGAGUUAUUGUUAAUAUAUUUAUUAUGGACUUGCAACAAAGCCAAAGUAUUAUCCUUGCUUCGAAGAAUCUUGUUCACAGGACGGGCUCCUACACACAGAUGCAAGAGUAUCUUCCUAGAAGUGGCCAAGGACAACUCCAUCAUAACCAAAGAAUGUGCCACAUCAUCACCAAAAACUGUAGCUUUGUUCAUUUCAUCUGCUCACCCCUCCUUUUGACCUUGUGUGUUUUCUAAUAAUAAUAAAAAAAAGAGUACAUGAGAGGCUGGUUCAGAACGUGUUUGGAGACUGUAACUGGCCUGUCUCUCACGUCCUCCUGAUCAGAAGAAAGACGACUUGUUGUCCGUUAUUUGUGCAACCAUUCCAGCAAGUUAGGUGAUAAACCUAACAUUUUCUUGGUCCUUCGAGCCGGAUUCCAAGAUACCCGAGGAUUGUUACAGUUAAAUUCCGUGUAACGAGGGCGGACUCGUCUGUACAUUAAAAGAUACAGUGAUCACAAAACACCGUUCUUUGAUACCUGUCGAGAUGGAGAGGCUACUUACGUUAUGAACUGAGGAACAGAUUCCUUCGCAACAGCUAAGCACAGCCUCCCCUUCUUCUUCUCCAUCCACCUCUCAGAAGUAAUGCUCACCCCAAAGUACGGAUUUGAGACGGCGGCACUCAAGCGACAACAGGAAGCAGAACUGGAGGCGGCAGAAAUAAAGAUGCUGAGGUUCUCGCUUGGAGUGAACAGGUUGGAUAGGAUUAGAAAUGAGCUCAUUGGAGGGACAGCCAAAGUUGGAUGUUUUGGAGACAAGGUUCGGGAAAGCUGACUUCAAUGGUUUGGACAUGUCCAGAGGUGAGAGAGAAAA